AUGUCCAGGGAGUCAGGAGCCACAGGAAGAUUCUAAAGCCAGGGGAGAGGGGGGUCAAGGGCAAUAUAUAUAAUCUUAACAUUUGUACCUCCAUAAUAUGCUGAAAAUAAAUAAAAUAAGAUUCUAAAGCCAGAGGAAACUGGCCUGGGGAUUGCACUGAGGUCCACCCCCUUUUCACCUCUGUCCUGGUCCCCUACUCGCACUCCUGUGCGCGCUCCGCCCCUUGUCCCUCACCAUCUGGGUCUGGCAAGAUUCAGCGCGCCCCCUAGUGGUUACUCGGCGGCAGGUCUGCAAAAGCCCGGAGAUCGGAAACCGCGACAAGCCCAGGGCGCUGGCUUGCUACUCUGGUGGCCCGGGAGCUAAGCAGGGGUGGUAGUGGGCUCUCGAGGGUGAAUCCCCGCAGUGGGCCCCAACGUCGAAUGCUCUUCCACCGCAGGAUCAGUUCCGGCCGGGAAGCGAGGAAGAGGACGCUUUUACAGCAGUCCUAGACGCCCUGGAGGUUCCACGAGAUCCGCCACACUCCCCCGCGAGUGCCCCCACCCUCUCUGUCUGCCCCAGCAAGAGCGCCCGCUGCCCUGCCUCGGAGGGCCGAGUCGCUAUGUCCCAACGCGAGUCACCUCCGUCCUGGGCGCCUGUUUCUUCAGUUGCCAAGUGGGAACAUGCUGCUGCGGGACAAAGCCUCAGAGGGGAUCCAGCCAUCCUGAGCUCUCAACCCCCCGGGAAAACCCCCUCCCCACCCCGGCAUGAGCUGUGGGUGCGCCCGGGUCCCCUCCUCUCCCCUGUGGUCCACAGGCCCGGACGCAGCGCCCUGCUUGUCCGGAAGCACGAGGUGCAGCUCCCGCUUGGGUCUCGAGUCGGGCUUGACAAUCCCUUAUCUCAGCUCCAGCCAGCUGGAGUCCCUCCUUCCCGCCGCAUUAUUCAGUUUCUUAAUUACGUAAAUGGGAGAAUUUGGGUAAGUACGGGGCGGCCAGGAAACGCACCGUAAAGGAGCCUCACCAAGCUGCGCGGGCGAAAGGGGCGCCGGGAGCGCUCCACGCGGGCCGUCCGAGCUGGGUUGUUGGUCCGGGACGGAGGAUCCGCAGCCUGCACGCGCCCGAAGGCACCGCGAGCCCCCUGCCCGCCAGCAAUCUCCGAGCAACAGGCCGGUCGCCACGGAGCGAGGAAAACAGGCUGGCGCCCCACGUGGGGUAGAGCAUCGAGGCUUACGCACCUCCGGCCCACAACGACCACGCUUUGGCACUUCCCGGAGCUGGACUAAGGCCCUGGCUCCUGUGUGGACGGGCCCUUCCCUAUGAUCUCGGGUGACCACCCCACAGCUCCAUGGACCCCUGACGAUCCCUGCCGCCCUCCCCUUCCCCAGCCGACCUCGGAUGAUACCCCCCAAAGGCCUCCGGGUGAUACCCGGCAAUUUCCACCGCCCCCUUGACCCUUGGUGACUUCCACCAACCCCAGACCUGCUG